UAUGAGGGUCAUCCUAGUGAAACCAAACAACUCCAAAAAUUAAGAAUUAUCAUUCUGAAGAAUGUCAUCCCAAAGAUUUACCUAACCAAACACCCCCUUAAAGGUUCAGGGUUCAGGGUUUCGGGUUUCAUUUAUAGGGUUUAGACGGUCGUUUAUGAUUUUGAUUACUCACCAUUUUAAUGUACAUUACGCUUAAAUAAACUAAUGAUGACAAGAUUAUGUUCUCAAUUUUAAUUUUAAUAGUGUACAUUUUUUUUAAGAUUUUUCUCUUCUUUUUUUUUUUUUUUUUUAAUUUAAUAAAAUAAUAUAUUUUACUUAUAUAUAUAUAUAAUAUAAUGUAGUGAUAGAUAUAUACUCCCCCAUAAGAAACACGCGGUUCACUAUAUAUACAUAAUAUAAAUCUAUAUGUAUGUGUGUGUUUGUGUGUAUAUAUAUAUAUAUAUAUAUAUACAGGGGGUUUGGACCUAGGAUUUUCAAUUUUUCAUAUGUUUCUCCUCACAAUUAUAUGCUCAUAUCUUAUAAACUUCGAUUGACAUGAUAUCAGUAUCAUUGAAUCCUGCUUGAAAAAUUAAGUGGUUUAGACUUAACAUUUUCAAUUUUUCAUAGUUUGAAUCAUUUGUUAAUAUACAUUAGUUUAUGGAAGGGUUUAGGGGUUUAGGGUAUUGUUUAUUGAGUUUGUCUUGUCGAUUCUUAUGAUUUCGAUUAUAUAUAUAAGUGCAUGUACUCAUGCUUGGAGAUUAAUAUUUUUUAAGAUAACAAUACCAUUUACUUAAAAUAAAUUUAUUUUCAAAAUGAUGGAUUUCAGUUUAAAAUUAAAGUCGUUGCCAAGGCCAAUUUUGUAUAUAAUAUUUUUUUUAGAUUUUAAAAAAAUAUUUCCAUAUAUUUGUAGACACCAAAUUUUGGCCUACUCCGAUCCCGCACCAUUAAAAAAUGGGGCCUUUCAAGUAAAUAAAAAAAAUAUACAAAACAAAACAAAACAAAACAGAAAUGAGUGACACGUUUAAGAAAACAAAAAAAGAAAGAAGGGGGAGAGAGAGAGAGAGAGGGGGGGGGAGAUCCUCCAUCAAGGUCCCACACUUAGAAAACCCCAGUGACCGAAACCCCUCUGGUUUCUUAACCAUCUUCAGCGAAACCGAAGAAGAGAGAUGAUGGCGGCUCAAGGAAAGAGAAGAUUUCAAGCUUGUAGGAAGAGCAAGCCCGAAUGUUGAAAGAGAAAUUCAAUGUCAGCAAGAAUCAGCUUCAAGCUCUGGCUUCUUUAUUCUCCAAGUCUGAUCCGAGGUAGAAUGGAAUUAUCUUCUAGCUGAUGAAGAUAUUGGAGGCCAGAAAUGUUCAAAAGCCACAGAGCUGGGUACUGCGUUUUUAACUGAGGAUGGGCUGUUUGAUAUAAUCCGUUCAUCGAAACGUGCAAAGACUCCUGCACAGGAAGAAUUCAAAAAGAAACAUGCAAAUAAGUCUGUUGGAUCACCACCAAAGGGAAGUCCUCAAAAAGAAGUAUAGAGUAUGCUUAGAAUAACACUGAAAUUUUGCUUUUGUUUUACUGCUUUAAGAAUUCAGAAAUAUCAUUGGCUGCUUGCCCACA